GACGAACGCUGGCGGCGUGCUUAACACAUGCAAGUCGAACGGAAAGGCCCUGCUUUUGUGGGGUGCUCGAGUGGCGAACGGGUGAGUAACACGUGAGUAACCUGCCCUUGACUUUGGGAUAACUUCAGGAAACUGGGGCUAAUACCGGAUAGGAGCUCCUGCUCCAUGGUGGGGGUUGGAAAGUUUCGGCGGUUGGGGAUGGACUCGCGGCUUAUCAACUUGUUGGUGGGGGAGUGGCUUACCAAGGCUUUGACGGGUAGCCGGCCUGAGAGGGUGACCGGCCACAUUGGGACUGAGAUACGGCGCAGACUCCUACGGGAGGCAGCAGUGGGGAAUAUUGCACAAUGGGCGGAAGCCUGAUGCAGCAACGCCGCGUGCGGGAUGACGGCCUUCGGGCUGUAAACCGCUUUAGCCUGUGACGAAGCGUGAGUGACGGUAAUGGGUAAAGAAGCACCGGCUAACUACGUG
rnacentral:rRNA from 1 species